rnacentral:misc_RNA from 1 species
AAAAAAGAGUUGCAAGACUCGAAAACCAUCGUGAACAUACCUCUCGUCGUUGCUUCGGCGGGCUGCUCGCCAGGGCGCCCGCCGGAGGACCACCAAACUCUGUUUUCUUAGCGUAUCUCUGAGUGGACCACAAAAAUGAAUCA